rnacentral:rRNA from 1 species
CGGCAACAGCUCAAAUUUGAAAUCUGGCCCCAGGCCCGAGUUGUAAUUUGCAGAGGAUGCUUUGGGCGCGGCGCCUUCCGAGUUCCCUGGAACGGGACGCCAUAGAGGGUGAGAGCCCCGUACGGUCGGACGCCCAGCCUAUGUAAAGCUCCUUCGAC